rnacentral:tRNA from 1 species
GCAGUCGUGGCGGAAUUGGCAGACGCGCUAGAUUCAGGGUCUAGUACCUUCACCGGUGUAGGAGUUCAACUCUCCUCGACUGCACCA